GGAGGGAUGGCUGAGUGGUUUAAGGCGGCGGUCUUGAAAACCGUUGAUGCGCAAGUAUCCGGGGGUUCGAAUCCCUCUCCCUCCGCCA
rnacentral:tRNA from 1 species